ensembl:lncRNA
UUUUUUUUUUUUUUUUUUGAGAUGAGGUGUCACUCUGCUGCCCAGGCUGGAGGGCAGUAGUGUGAUAACAGCUCAAUGCUCAUUGCAGCCUCCAACUCCAGCAAUCCUCCUGCCUCAGCCUCCCAAGUAGCUGGGACUACAGGCACAUACCACCUUGCCCAGUUAAUUUUUUAAUUUUUUGUAGAGACAGGGUCUCACUAUGUUGUUCUCCAACUCCUGGCCUCAAGCGAUACUCCUGCCUUGGCCUCCUAAAAUGCUGGGUUUACAGGUGUGAACCACCGCAGCUGACCUGUGUGACUAAUCGUAGCCAAUGAAAAAUGGGCAGACAGGUGUCAUUUCUAGUGGAAGCAUUUCAGAACCAGGAUACAAUUCCCCUGGCUUGUGUCCUCUGUGUUCAAAAGGGGCCACAGAAGACGGUGGAGCUUCAGUCUGUGUUCAUGAGGAACCACAGGGAGCAGGGGCCUCUGUCCAUGAAACUACAUAUGGAGCAAGUGCCACAAUAAACUUGGUUGCCUUGAGCCACUUCGGUUUGGGGAUGUCUGUUUUAGUAUAUAGACUAGCCUAUCCUGGCUGAAACAGACAUUGCUGCAGGCCCAGGAGGAGGAGGGGGCCUGAGCUGAGGCAGGAGGGAUGCUGGAAGGCAUGGAGCGUCAGUUGUCUAUAGCCACCCCAAACUCAGCAGUGUCAAACCAUCAACAUUUAGCUAGUUCACCAACCUGUGCAUUGGCCGGAUGGUUCUUCAGGACUCAUGCAUCUACAGCCAGCUGUGGGUCUGGAUGGGUGGAUCUGUGGGUCCGGAUGGGUGGAUCGGCUCUGGACAGGUGGCGGGUCCAGAGGGGUGGAUCAGCGGGUCUGGACAGGUGGAACUGCGGGUCCAGAGGGGUGGAUCAGCGGGUCCGGAGGGGUGGAUCGGCGGGUCCGGAGGGGUGGAUCGGCGGGUCCGGAGGGGUGGAUCUGCAGGUCCGGAGGGGUGGAUUGGCGGGUCCAGAGGGGUGGAUCUGUGGGUCCGGAUGGGUGGCUCUGCACCUCUUGGCUGAACUCUUCUUAUGUGUCUCAGGCCGCUGGUUUAGGACGGCUUUGACUGAGAGCACUGGGGUGGCUCAGCUCAUUUCCAUGUGUUUCACCUCCCAUGGGCCAGCCCAGAUCUCCUAGCCAUUGCAGGGGAGCCGGAGAGGGAUUAAAACAGGCAAAAGCCCCAUUACCAGCUUUUGCUUGAAUCACAUUUGCUAAAAUAAGUCACAUGCCUGAGCACAGAGUCCAGGGGUAGGAGAGAACCCCCUUCCCGCACGUGGGAGGGCACUGCAAAUUCGCCAGUCAAGGGCACAGAUCCAGACGGGGAGAGAACUGGGGUCAUGUGUGCUACCAGCCUACCACCUGCGGGUGCAGCUGCUGGCCUGAUGUCUGAUUGGAUGCAGGGGGUGCUGUGGACGUCUCUAUGGACAACAAUGACCCCCGUCCCUGUAUGGUUAUGCCACCCCACUCAUCAAGAGGAGGAGUCGUAUCUGUGAUGCUUUGACCAAGAGAACGUGGUGAAAGUGACAGCCACUUCCCAGCUUUGUCAUUCCCAGCUGCCAUUUAAAGGUACUCAGGCUAGACCACUGAAAAAUGAGAGUGGGAGGCCACGAGGCGGGAAUCAAGGCCAGUGUGAAAGUGAGGCCAUUUGGGACCUUCCGGCUGAAUGAAGCCCCAUUAAGGGAGCCCAGGGAACCCAGAAGAGUCACAGGAAGCAAGAAACCAUGGUGGCUUUAAACCACUACAUAUUGGGGCAACUUGUCACACAGCACGUGAUAACUGAUGGUGAUGGCGAAAACUAAGCAAGGUUGAUGCUCAGAUUUACAGCUUGAGUUCUCAGCCCAGGGGUCACGCCC